ensembl:snoRNA U8 U8 small nucleolar RNA
UCGUCAGGUAGGAUAAUCCUUACCUGUCCCUCCUUCUGGAGGGCAGAUUGGAACAUGAUGAUUGGAGAUCGCAUGAUUCGUGAUUAACGUCUCUGCGUGAUCAGGACUUGCAACACCCUGAUUGCUCCUAAUCUGAU